CAGAACCACUCGCUGCCGAAGCUGGGCACCGAGAACACGCCCCAGUGAAUGAAGACGCCAAACUUCGCCUCGUCAAACCAGGCGGGCAGCGGCCGGGCGUCCAGCGAGCUCCAGUUUAUCUUUGGAUUUCUUCAUGUUCUCCUUUUCUUUUUGAUCACACCAAAGGAUUGCAGACACUGAGCAGCUCCUUAAUGUGCGAAUUUUGAAGUAGACUCUCUGAAGCUUAUUCUGUACAGCACACCAAAGUUACAACUGCUCUGUGGCUCAAAAUGCUUUGAAGGAAAAAUGGUUUAAAAAAAGCUCAAGGGUCUGACCCGAAGCCCUCUGACAUCAGUGACCUGCUAUCGACCUUGGUGAGAUUUCAAGCAGAAACUGUGUAUUUCAGUAAUGAACUUGAUCACAUCUUUUAAAUAAAAAAAAAAAAAAUAGAAAACAGUUCAGUAAAUAGCAGUCGUGUAUACUUCUGAUUAAGGUGUAAACAGGUUCAGAAAAUGUCACCAGCCCACACAGGCACAGCUACUGAAAUCUCCAGUGAGGGAAAAGGUCCUCAGUGCAGAGUCACAUCUGUAAUGAUGCAAGCUGCAACGGGUAAAUAAUAAAAAUAGUACAUUGUAAGAUUUUGUGAAUAACACAGGACCAGUGUCUGCAAUUGCAGGAAGCUCUCUAAACCUGGGUACAGCGUGCCUGCCUGCACGAUGCUGGAGCCACCGGGCCCCUGCAGGAAGAUCUGUAAGCAUGGAGCUUGCUUCUGCGCCCUGUGAAGAGAAGCCCCUGCCUCUCAUUUUCGCAGCACAGUCCCGCUGGGAAAGCUCUCCACAGCUAGGGAAGGAGCAGGCUGGUCUGUCAGCAGAGGGAAGAAGGAGAGGAAAUAAUAAAGGCAAUUCCCUGGAAGAUGCUGAGCAGAAAAGACCUUUUGACCUGACUAAUGGCUGACAUACGAGACUCAUGUACUGGAUCAAUUGCUUGGACAAAGGCAAAGGGUGCCUGACUGCCAGGAAGACUGCAAAACCACCGUGCCUGUGGAGCUGCACGGGGGUUGGUGUUCAGAGGAGGGCACUUGGUUGCUUGGGUGGAAGCAGAAGCCAGGAACUGAAUUUCCCAUGGACAUGUUUCAGACUUGAUAGGAUUUGAUUCAGACCUGGGGAGGGGCAGUUGUUGUGAUGUUUUCAUACAGCCUGAAUGGGACUCUCAUAUUUGAUAGCUGGGUAAUGUGGCACUGGAUGCGUUAAAUAUGCAGGGCGAAGUCCUCUCUGUCUUUGCCAUUGUGCCAGCGGCUUCAGGGCAGCGAGGAUUUAAUUCAAGGCAGAAUAUAAAAUGAUUUGCCUGUAAAAGGCAGUGAAGCCGUUAAAUAUAAUUUUAAAGGUGAA